rnacentral:rRNA from 1 species
UACGAAGGGGGCUAGCGUUGUUCGGAAUUACUGGGCGUAAAGCGCGCGCAGGCGGUCUUCCAAGUCAGAGGUGAAAGCCCGGAGCUCAACUCCGGAACUGCCAUUGAAACUGUUGGACUUGAGUACGAGAGAGGUGAGUGGAAUUCCCAGUGUAGAGGUGAAAUUCGUAGAUAUUGGGAAGAACACCGGUGGCGAAGGCGGCUCACUGGCUCGUAACUGACGCUCAGGCGCGACAGCGUGGGGAUCAAACAGG